AUUGAACGCUGGCGGCAUGCCUUACACAUGCAAGCCGAACGGUAACAGGUUAAGCUGACGAGUGGCGAACGGGUGAGUAAUACAUCGGAACGUGCCCAGUAGUGGGGUAUAGCCCGGCGAAAGCCGGAUUAAUACCGCAUACGACCUAAGGGGGAAAGGGGGGGAUCGCAAGACCUCUCGCUAUUGGAGCGGCCGAUGUCAGAUUAGCUAGUUGGUGGGGUAAAAGCUCACCAAGGCGACGAUCUGUAGCUGGUCUGAGAGGACGACCAGCCACACUGGGGCUGAGACACGGCCCAGACUCCUACGGGAGGCAGCAGUGGGGAAUUUUGGACAAUGGGCGCAAGCCUGAUCCAGCCAUGCCGCGUGCGGGAAGAAGGCCUUCGGGUUGUAAACCGCUUUUGUCAGGGAAGAAAUCCUUUGGGUUAAUACCUCGGGGGGAUGACGGUACCUGAAGAAUAAGCACCGGCUAACUACGUG
rnacentral:rRNA from 1 species